rnacentral:lncRNA from 1 species
UUGGGACUGAUAGUUUUUUGAUCAUAACUCGGUUAGAUGGAUUGAUCCAAAAGACUAACCGACUCAUAGUUGUUAUGUUGACCAGAGAUUGUUCCGAUAUGUAAGUCGUGUAGGAAUUGGAUAUGAUUAGAGAUCGAUCAGCAAACUCUCUGACCAAGGGUUGGACCAAACCUUUUCUAUCCAAAAUUCGGAUAAAGAACUAUUCGACUAGAGGUCGAAUCAAAGAUUGACCGACUCAAGGUCGGAUCAGGCACACAUCGAUUAAGGGUCAGAUGAGUCAUAAUUAAUCAUGCGACUGCACUGCUUAAGAUGUGCAAUCCGACUAGCUCUUUUAGAUAAAAAAUUGGAUCAAGAACAUAUCGAUGAGAAGUCAGAUAGAAUAGCCUUAGACUAGGGGUCGGGACAGAUAUUUGCCGACCAAGGAUCGGGCAAACCACAACAAUUAGACCGCUUGAGAGGUGCUGAUAUGGACCCGAUGGGUCAUAAUGGGCUUGAAUCUUCACACAUCAUCAGUCCAUUCUAAAUUACUCCUAACAGAUACACCCUUACUUCCUAAUUCGA